CUCCAGAGGGAUGCACUUUCUU
rnacentral:miRNA from 1 species